ensembl:lncRNA
AUGUCAACUGUAGAGCCUCAAGAGGUGCUGAAUGAUUCAUACUGUAAAGUGUUGUUCAUGGCUUUGUCCCAGGCCUGUAGGAUGGACGGUGAAGAAAACUCAUCUUCCUGGACAUUGAUCAUGAAAAAGAUUGUAUUACAGAGGUUAAAGUUCAGCGUGUCAAUGUUAGAAAAUAAACCACAUGUUGUGUACCGUUUCAGAUUUUAUUUCAACAGUCAACAUACAUCUACUGCUUAUCAGCUUCAUCCAAAUGUCCACAUUGUCUGUUGUAAAACGAGCUACAUUCUGACACAGCAACAACAACCCCAUAACACACCUACCAUCUCUCACACACGUCCACACACUGUGGGAGCUGAACAGCCGCAUGUCUCAGGUCAGGGUUCAGGUCUGGGUCAGGACCACUGGUCUCAGGUCAGGACCACUGAUCUCAGGUCAGGGUUCAGGCCAGGGAUGGGACCACUGACCUCACGACAAGGUUCAGGUCUGGGAUGGGACCACUGGUCUCAGGUCAGGGUUCAGGUCUGGGUCAGGACCACUGGUCUCAGGUCAGGACCACUGAUCUCAGGUCAGGGUUCAGGCCUGGGUCAGGACCACUGGUCUCAGGUCAGGACCACUGAUCUCAGGUCAGGGUUCAGGCCAGGGAUGGGACCACUGACCUCACGACAAGGUUCAGGUCUGGGAUGGGACCACUGGUCUCAGGUCAGGGUUCAGGUCUGGGUCAGGACCACUGGUCUCAGGUCAGGGAUGGGACCUCUGACCUCAGGACAAGGUUCAGGUCUGGGAUGGGACCACUGGUCUCAGGUCAGGGUUCAGGUCUGGGUCAGGACCACUGGUCUCAGGCCAGGGAUGGGACCACUGACCUCAGGUCAGGGUUCAGGUCAGGGAUGGGACCACUGGUCUCAGGACAGGGUUCAGGUCAGAACUUAUUCAAAGCCUUUACCACAGGUAUCAGUCAUUACAUCAUUCCUUUACCACAGGUAUCAGUCAUUACAUCAUUCCUUUACCACAGGUAUCAGUCAUUAUAUCAUUCCUUUACCACAGGUAUCAGUCAUUAUAUCAUUCCUUUACCACAGGUAUCAGUCAUUUCAUCAUUCCUUUACCACAGGUAUCAGUCAUUUCAUCAUUCCUUUACCACAGGUAUCAGUCAUUACAUCAUUCCUUUACCACAGGUAUCAGUCAUUACAUCAUUCCUUUACCACAGGUAUCAGUCAUUAUAUCAUUCCUUUACCACAGGUAUCAGUCAUUAUAUCAUUAUAUCAUUCCUUUACCACAGGUAUCAGUCAUUAUAUCAUUCCUUUACCACAGGUAUCAGUCAUUAUAUCAUUCCUUUACCACAGGUAUCAGUCAUUAUAUCAUUCCUUUACCACAGGUAUCAGUCAUUACAUCAUUCCUUUACCACAGGUAUCAGUCAUUAUAUCAUUAUAUCAUUCCUUUACCACAGGUAUCAGUCAUUAUAUCAUUCCUUUACCACAGGUAUCAGUCAUUAUAUCAUUCCUUUACCACAGGUAUCAGUCAUUAUAUCAUUCCUUUACCACAGGUAUCAGUCAUUACAUCAUUCCUUUACCACAGGUAUCAGUCAUUAUAUCAUUCCUUUACCACAGGUAUCAGUCAUUACAUCAUUCCUUUACCACAGGUAUCAGUCAUUACAUCAUUCCUUUACCACAGGUAUCAGUCAUUAUAUCAUUCCUUUACCACAGGUAUCAGUCAUUAUAUCAUUCCUUUACCACAGGUAUCAGUCAUUAUAUCAUUCCUUUACCACAGGUAUCAGUCAUUACAUCAUUCCUUUACCACAGGUAUCAGACAUUACAUCAUUCCUUUACCACAGGUAUCAGUCAUUAUAUCAUUCCUUUACCACAGGUAUCAGUCAUUACAUCAUUCCUUUACCACAGGUAUCAGUCAUUACAUCAUUCCUUUACCACAGGUAUCAGUCAUUACAUCAUUCCUUUACCACAGGUAUCAGUCAUUAUAUCAUUCCUUUACCACAGGUAUCAGUCAUUAUAUCAUUCCUUUACCACAGGUAUCAGUCAUUACAUCAUUCCUUUACCACAGGUAUCAGUCAUUAUAUCAUUCCUUUACCACAGGUAUCAGUCAUUACAUCAUUCCUUUACCACAGGUAUCAGUCAUUAUAUCAUUAUAUCAUUCCUUUACCACAGGUAUCAGUCAUUACAUCAUUCCUUUACCACAGGUAUCAGUCAUUACAUCAUUCCUUUACCACAGGUAUCAGUCAUUAUAUCAUUCCUUUACCACAGGUAUCAGACAUUAUAUCAUUAUAUCAUUCCUUUACCACAGGUAUCAGUCAUUAUAUCAUUCCUUUACCACAGGUAUCAGUCAUUAUAUCAUUCCUUUACCACAGGUAUCAGUCAUUAUAUCAUUCCUUUACCACAGGUAUCAGUCAUUAUAUCAUUCCUUUACCACAGGUAUCAGUCAUUAUCAUUACAUCAUUCCUUUACCACAGGUAUCAGACAAAACCCACAACCACACCGUUCGUUAAUAAUAUAUCAUAUAGCGCUUUAAUCCAAAGUGAUUUACAGUCAUGCGUGCGUACAUUUUACGUCUGGGCUGCCCCGGGAAUCGAACCUACAACCCUGGGGUACAAGCACCAUGCUCUACCAACUGAGCUGUUCGGGAACUGUUCGGGAGCUGUUCGGGAGCUGUUCGGGAGCUGUUCGGGAGCUGUUCGGGAACUGUUCGGGAGCUGUUCGGGAACUGUUCGGGAACUGUUCGGUAGCUGUUCGGGAACUGUUCGGUAGCUGUUCGGGAACUGUUCGGGAGCUGUUCGGGAACUGUUCGGUAGCUGUUCGGGAACUGUUCGGGAGCUGUUCGGGAACUGUUCGGGAACUGUUCAAAUAAGACCUGAGAUUUGAAUUGUCAAUCAGAAGAAGACAGAGGAACAGGAGAAGCCUCUAAUUUGGAUGUGUGAGGUAUUGGAUGAUUUGACACAGGGCUAUCAAGGAUCUCUGAUCGCGUUCUUCAUAACGCUUCAUAAAGACUUCUUAAGGCUUCAUAAAGACUUCAUAAGGCUUCAUAGAGGCUUCAUAAGGCUUCAUAGAGACUUCUUAAGGCUUCAUAAAGACUUCACAAGGCUUCAUAAAGACUUCUUAAGGCUUCAUAAAGACUUCACAAGGCUUCAUAGAGGCUUCAUAAGGCUUCAUAAAGACUUCUUAAGGCUUCAUAAAGACUUCACAAGGCUUCAUAAAGACUCCUUAAGGCUUCAUAAAGACUCCUUAAGGCUUCAUAAAGACUCCUUAAGGCUUCAUAAAUACUUCUUAAGGCUUCAUAAAGACUCCUUAAGGCUUCAUAAAGACUCCUUAAGGCUUCAUAAAGACUAUAAAGACUUCUUAAGGCUUCAUAAAGACUCCUUAAGGCUUCAUAGAGACUCCUUAAGGCUUCAUAAAGACUUCUUAAGGCUUCAUAAAGACUUCAUAAGGCUUCAUAGAGACUUCAUAAGGCUUCAUAAAGACUUUAUAAGGCUUCAUAAAAGCUCCAUGAAUCCAACGUCAGGCAGACAUCUACUGCUCCUUGACGACGAUCAUCAACAUUCAGAAAUAAAUGAAAACGAUGAACACUCAUCCAAACAAAAGACUCAGUUUGUCUCAGUCCUCUCAGAGUUCACCUCAUCAUCACAUUCAUCAUCGUCACACAGCUGCUUUCUGCUUCCAGGUCAAAGUUCAACUACAUUAAUGCCAACUGUCGCGACACAAGUACACAUAGAGCCGCUUAAAUCAACUCAAGGUUCAAGUCCCUAGUGGGAUAAUAAGAUGGGUCCAUAACAAGUCUUUCCCCUCAACAUGGGUCUGAUCUGAGGAGGUUAUACUCCCUAGAACGGACGUCUCCAUUCAAAUCAAUGAUUCCGUAAGGGGCGGACUGGA